GACGAACGCUGGCGGCGUGCUUAACACAUGCAAGUCGAACGAAGAGCGAUGGAAGCUUGCUUCUAUCAAUCUUAGUGGCGAACGGGUGAGUAACGCGUAAUCAACCUGCCCUUCAGAGGGGGACAACAGUUGGAAACGACUGCUAAUACCGCAUACGAUCUAAUCUCGGCAUCGAGGAUAGAUGAAAGGUGGCCUCUACAUGUAAGCUAUCACGGAAGGAGGGGAUUGCGUCUGAUUAGCUAGUUGGAGGGGUAACGGCCCACCAAGGCGAUGAUCAGUAGCCGGUCUGAGAGGAUGAACGGCCACAUUGGGACUGAGACACGGCCCAGACUCCUACGGGAGGCAGCAGUGGGGAAUCUUCCGCAAUGGACGAAAGUCUGACGGAGCAACGCCGCGUGAGUGAUGACGGCCUUCGGGUUGUAAAGCUCUGUUAAUCGGGACGAAAGGCCUUCUUGCGAAUAGUGAGAAGGAUUGACGGUACCGGAAUAGAAAGCCACGGCUAACUACGUG
rnacentral:rRNA from 1 species